CUUAGUGGCGGACGGGUGAGUAACGCGUGGGGAACCUGCCCUGUACAGGGGGAUAACACUUAGAAAUAGGUGCUAAUACCGCAUAAGCGCACUGUGUCGCAUGAUACAGUGUGAAAAACUCCGGUGGUACAGGAUGGACCCGCGUCUGAUUAGCUGGUUGGCGGGGUAACGGCCCACCAAGGCGACGAUCAGUGGCCGGCCUGAGAGGGUGAACGGCCACAUUGGGACUGAGACACGGCCCAAACUCCUACGGAAGGCAGCAG
rnacentral:rRNA from 1 species